UAACUUAGUGGCGGACGGGUGAGUAACGCGUGAGUAACCUGCCUUUCAGAGGGGGAUAACGUCCUGAAAAGGACGCUAAUACCGCAUGAUAUAUUUGUGCCGCAUGGUAUGGAUAUCAAAGGAGCAAUCCGCUGGAAGAUGGACUCGCGUCCGAUUAGCUAGUUGGAGGGGUAACGGCCCACCAAGGCGACGAUCGGUAGCCGGACUGAGAGGUUGAACGGCCACAUUGGGACUGAGACACGGCCCAGACUCCUGCGGGAGGCAGCAGUGGGGGAUAUUGCGCAAUGGGGGAAACCCUGACGCAGCAACGCCGCGUGAAGGAAGAAGGUUUUCGGAUUGUAAACUUCUUUUCUAAGGGACGAAGAAGUGACGGUACCUUAGGAAUAAGCUCCGGCUAACUACGUGCCAGCAGCCGCGGUAAUACGUAGGGAGCAAGCGUUGUCCGGAUUUACUGGGUGUAAAGGGUGCGUAGGCGGCAAUGCAAGUCAGAUGUGAAAUGCACGGGCUCAACCCGUGAGCUGCAUUUGAAACUGUGUUGCUUGAGUGAGGUAGAGGCAGGCGGAAUUCCCGGUGUAGCGGUGAAAUGCGUAGAGAUCGGGAGGA
rnacentral:rRNA from 1 species